rfam:Pteropus alecto contig104231, whole genome shotgun sequence.
GUCAGGAUGGCCGAGUGGUCUAAGGCGCCAGACUCAAGCUCAGCUUCCCGCUCCUGGGGCUUCUGGUCUCCGUAUGGAGGCGUGGGUUCAAAUCCCACUCCUGACA